rnacentral:rRNA from 1 species
GCCUAUGAGCAUACCACUCAUAUGUGAGAACACCCAAUCUUGUCUGAUCUCAGAAACUAAUCAAGGUUGGGCCUGGUUAGUACUUGGAUGGGAAACUGCCUUGGAAUACCAGGCAUUUUAGGCU